AGGAGCAGCAGGAGACGAGCUAUUUUUGUGGUGUGGGGAGAACCAUCUACAGCUCAAUGUGGAUAAGACAAAGGAGAUGGUGGUUGAGUUCAGCUGUAAAAAGGCUAAGCCACUGCCAAUUUCCAUCGCAGGAUCAGAUGUGGAGAUUGUAACA